GACGAACGCUGGCGGCGUGCUUAACACAUGCAAGUCGAACGGAAAGGCCCUGCUUUUGUGGGGUGCUCGAGUGGCGAACGGGUGAGUAACACGUGAGUAACCUGCCCUUGACUUUGGGAUAACUUCAGGAAACUGGGGCUAAUACCGGAUAGGAGCUCCUGCUGCAUGGUGGGGGUUGGAAAGUUUCGGCGGUUGGGGAUGGACUCGCGGCUUAUCAGCUUGUUGGUGGGGUAGUGGCUUACCAAGGCUUUGACGGGUAGCCGGCCUGAGAGGGUGACCGGCCACAUUGGGACUGCGAUACGGCCCAGACUCCUACGGGAGGCAGCAGUGGGGAAUAUUGCACAAUGGGCGGAAGCCUGCUGCAGCAACGCCGCGUGCGGGAUGACGGCCUUCGGGUUGUAAACCGCUUUCGCCUGUGACGAAGCGUGAGUGACGGUAAUGGGUAAAGAAGCACCGGCUAACUACGUG
rnacentral:rRNA from 1 species